GACGAACGCUGGCGGCGUGCUUAACAUAUGCAAGUCGAACGGAAAGGCCCUGCUUUUGUGGGGUGCUCGAGUGGCGAACGGGUGAGUAACACGUGAGUAACCUGCCCUUGACUUUGGGAUAACUUCAGGAAACUGGGGCUAAUACCGGAUAGGAGCUCCUGCUGCAUGGUGGGGGUUGGAAAGUUUCGGCGGUUGGGGAUGGACUCGCGGCUUAUCAGCUUGUUGGUGGGGUAGUGGCUUACCAAGGCUUUGACGGGUAGCCGGCCUGAGAGGGUGACCGGCCACAUUGGGACUGAGAUACGGCCCAGUCUCCUACGGGAGGCAGCAGUGGGGAAUAUUGCACAAUGGGCGGAAGCCUGAUGCAGCAACGCCGCGUGCGGGAUGACGGCCUUCGGGUUGUAAACCGCUUUCGCCUGUGACGAAGCGUGAGUGACGGUAAUGGGUAAAGAAGCACCGGCUAACUACGUG
rnacentral:rRNA from 1 species